AGUGAACGCUGGCGGUAGGCCUAACACAUGCAAGUCGAACGGCAGCACAGUAAGAGCUUGCUCUUACGGGUGGCGAGUGGCGGACGGGUGAGGAAUACAUCGGAAUCUACUUUUUCGUGGGGGAUAACGUAGGGAAACUUACGCUAAUACCGCAUACGACCUACGGGUGAAAGCAGGGGAUCUUCGGACCUUGCGCGAUUGAAUGAGCCGAUGUCGGAUUAGCUAGUUGGCGGGGUAAAGGCCCACCAAGGCGACGAUCCGUAGCUGGUCUGAGAGGAUGGUCAGACACACUGGAACAGAGAAACGGUACAGACUCCUACGGGAGGAAGCAGUGGGGAAUAUUGGACAAUGGGCGAAAGCCUGAUCCAGCCAUACCGCGUGGGUGAAGAAGGAGUUCGGGUUGUAAAGCCCUUUUGUUGGGAAAGAAAAGCAGCAGGUUAAUACCCCGCUGUUCUGACGGUACCAAAAGAAUAAGCACCGGCUAACUUCGUG
rnacentral:rRNA from 1 species